rnacentral:misc_RNA from 1 species
GAUGAAGAACGUAGCGAAAUGCGAUAAGUAAUGUGAAUUGCAGAAUUCAGUGAAUCAUCGAAUCUUUGAACGCACAUUGCGCCCUCUGGUAUUCCGGGGGGCAUGCCUGUUCGAGCGUCAUUAUAACCACUCAAGCUCUCGCUUGGUAUUGGGGUUCGCGGUUUCGCGGCCCCUAAAAUCAGUGGCGGUGCCUGUCGGCUCUACGCGUAGUAAUAUUUCUCGCGAUUGAGUUCGAUAGGUCUACUUGCCAGUAACCCCCAAUUUUUACAGGUUGACCUCGGAUCAGGUAGGGAUACCCGCUGAACUUAAGCAUAUCAAUAAGCGGAGGA